GUCAGCUGGACUGGAAAAUUCGUUCGUUUCGCUCCAGCAAUCGCGGGUCUAAAAAAUUUUAACAGUUGUACCGAAAUACACAUCCAAAGAAUGAUACUACAAAAGUUCUCCACAUUUCGUCCAGCAGUUUUCUGAUAAUUUGACUCGAAAAAGCGAACUAUUUGUCCAUUGUGGACGUUCAAAAACGUACCGCGCCUACGUUAAAAAAAUCCGCUGCGUAUGACGCAUCGUACCACGUGACGUGAACUGUCCAAUUAGACACCAGAUAUGAGGUCGCAGGUCAUGACAUUUAACAAACAUGGCGGCGUCCAUUGGCAAAAGUGCGUCAACGUAAACAUCGACCUGUGCAAAAAAGAAGUGUUUGCACUCAUAAUCUGUCACGUUUGAGGGGGGAAAUGCGAAGGAUCUGAUGUCCGGUGAUAGUAAGUUCAUUUCCUGUGCCAAAGAGUGGCUGAAUUUCACAAUGGCAUCGCCGAAUAAACCCACGAUGUGUGGGCAGUGGAUCUGCUAUGUCUGUAUCGUACUGUACAGUACUACAUCAUGCACUACCAUGACUACCGGCGCAUGUAAACAAGGCAGUCCGGCCGGCCGAUCUCACCCGUGGCGGCUUUUAUAGAUAGUAAACGUCUCGGUGCUGCAAGAAAACGCAAACCAGACACUUCAGCUGAGACCCAGAUUUCUUCACCGAAAAAGCUCCGGGCAAAGUUCAAGUUUCUUUGAAUUGCCUAUCUACAUAACUGUGUCAUGCUGCACACAAACUCAACCAGGAUUUUGAUUUCGAUGAAAACCUCAAUUCAAGGACAGUACAACAAGCAGAACUUCCGUUGGAGGCCUAAAGGAUGAACGUCAGGAAAAGGGAGAUGUUCUGCGACUGAUUGUUCAGCCCCGAUCAACAAGAAUGUCCCAGCUUGCUGAACUGUUGGAAUCAUGAAAUGAUUUAGAAGCCGAAGGAACUGGCCGUGGAUCUUUAUAUCGAACUGAUAAGUUGACAUAUUGGCUUAGAAGAGAAUAUCCACAGAUCUCUUAUCUUGAUAUAUGCGACAUCAUCUACACCGCUACUUUAUCUGCUGGAUGUGUGGUUGUAUC